UGGAUCCAGACUUUGAUUAUGGCUCAGGACGAACGCUGGCGGCGCGCCUAACACAUGCAAGUCGAACGGAGCUGAGAGGAGCUUGCUUUUCUUAGCUUAGUGGCGAACGGGUGAGUAACGCGUGAGUAACCUGCCCUGGAGUGGGGGACAACAGUUGGAAACGACUGCUAAUACCGCAUAAGCCCACGGAUCCGCAUGGAUCUGCGGGAAAAGGAUUUAUUCGCUUCAGGAUGGACUCGCGUCCAAUUAGCCAGUUGGUGAGGUAACGGCCCACCAAGGCGACGGUUGGUAGCCGGACUGAGAGGUUGAACGGCCACAUUGGGACUGAGACACGGCCCAGACUCCUACGGGAGGCACCAGUGGGGGAUAUUGCACAAUGGGGGAAACCCUGAUGCAGCGACGCCGCGUGGGGGAAGAAGGUUUUCGGAUUGUAAACUCCUGUCGUUAGGGACGAUAAUGACGGUACCUAACAAGAAAGCACCGGCUAACUACGUGCCAGCAGCCGCGGUAAAACGUAGGGUGCAAGCGUUGUCCGGAAUUACUGGGUGUAAAGGGAGCGCAGGCGGACCGGCAAGUUGGAAGUGAAAACUAUGGGCUCAACCCAUAAAUUGCUUUCAAAACUGCUGGCCUUGAGUAGUGCAGAGGUAGGUGGAAUUCCCGGUGUAGCGGUGGAAUGCGUAGAUAUCGGGAGGAACACCAGUGGCGAAGGCGACCUACUGGGCACCAACUGACGCUGAGGCUCGAAAGCAUGGGUAGCAAACAGGAUUAGAUACCCUGGUAGUCCAUGCCGUAAACGAUGAUUACUAGGUGUUGGAGGAUUGACCCCUUCAGUGCCGCAGUUAACACAAUAAGUAAUCCACCUGGGGAGUACGACCGCAAGGUUGCAACUCAAAUGAAUUGACGGA
rnacentral:rRNA from 2 species